rnacentral:rRNA from 1 species
UACGUAGGGAGCAAGCGUUGUCCGGAAUCAUUGGGCGUAAAGCGCGCGUAGGCGGCCCUGUAAGUCCGUUGUGAAAGUCAAAGGCUCAACCUUUGAAAGCCGAUGGAUACUGCAGGGCUAGAGUCCGGAAGAGGCGAGUGGAAUUCCUGGUGGUAGCGGUGGAAUGCGCAGAUAUCAGGAGGAACACCAAGUAGCGAAGGCAGCUCGCUGGGACGGUACUGACGCUAAGGCGCGAAAGCGUGGGGAGCGAACAGG